CAUGAUUAUUUUACAUAUGAAUAAGGAUAUCAGUCAGAAGGUUAAAUUUGGAUACAUGUCACUUCCUGCUUUAUUCUAGGAAUUUCCAAUUUCUUUUGUCACAUCGAUCCUCUUAACGACACUCGCGGUAAACAACCAGGCUAUGUAAAACUGUGUAAAGCAUGGGUCGAAAACGAAAAGCCCCGACGCAAACAUCGACAACACAUCUGAAGUUUGAUGAAACACGGUUUUAUAAAAAAUCGAAAACCGAAGACCAUGUCUUUAUAAUUGAAGGAAAGAAAAUGUAUGUUUCCAAAACAUGUGUUGACGAUAGCAUCACCCGUCUUUGCUAGCAUGUUUGAAUCAGAUUUUAAAGAGAAACACAUGGAAGAAAUAGAAGCUCAAGGAAAAGAAAUAUGAAGAUAUGCUUGAAUUUGUAAAACUUCUAUAUCCUGGUUCAAGAAAUCCUGUCACCUUGGAAACUGUAUUCCUUGUCCUGCCAUUGGCGGAAGAAUAUCAGGUGGACUCUAUAAAGUAUGAAUGCGAACAAUGUCUUUUACAUGAAAUAGAGAAUAGGAAAUCACCUCGAAGAUCUACCAAUGUUAAGAGUCUUUGUCAAAUACUGCAAUUCAGUAGCAUAUACAAUAUACCGAACGUUGAGAAAACAUGUAUCGAUGUUCUUUCUAAAAUUCCUCAAAAACAAGUGGAUUCCGCUGAAAAAUUAUACCCAUUGCCUGAUAAAUGCAAAAAUAAAUUGUUAACUAAAGUCAAUAUGAGAUUACAAGAAAGAAUAAAGAACAUCGAAGAUGAUAUUGAGUAUAAAGAUAAUAUUAUUGACAUGAAGGAGGAUGACAUAUCUGACUUGAGAACACAGAUUCAGGAAGCCAACAAAGAGAGAGAAACUCUAAGGCAAAAGCUUUCUGACAGAGAAUGUGAAAAUCGGAGUGAAGGCAUUAUAAAAUUGGAGUUCACCUGUCAGCUUUUUAACAACGGCCGGUCAAUUAAGUGACCCAAAGAAAUUUAGAGGACUUAAUUGGCGGUGUAAAGUCACAAGAGAGUGCAUUCCCGGUAUCACGAGGGACGAACAUCUCGGAUUUUGGGCAUGUUUCGACCCAGGUUUCCCAAACAUGGAAAUAAAUGCUAUUGCGUCUUUUAAAGUAUUGAAUAACAAAGGUGCUGAUUUUGUGUGUUAUACAUCUGAUACUGUAUUUACCACAAGGAAUUGCUCCUGGGGAUAUGGAGACAAACUUAAGUGGAAGGAGUUUAUAGAUCCUGAGAAAGGAUACGUAGUUGACGAUAAGGCAACAAUUGAAUUGUUUCUUGUAACAUUUAAACCACGAUUUGGUAACGAAUAAAUUUUAAUUGAAAUGACA
rnacentral:lncRNA from 1 species